AUAAAGUUUGAUUCUUUCUUUUAUUUUUAUAAUGUUGUUGAAAUUGUAUGAGAGUUGUUGCAAGUAAAAAUUAAUGUUAAAUACUUUAAUUAGGUUCUGAAUUGUAUUUUAAGUAAUAAAAUCUCAGCAUAAAAUAUUAAAUAAUUUACAAUUGUAAGAUUUAGUAACAAGUUAAGGUCUGAUGAAAUAUUGUGCCAGCAGUCGCGGUUAAACUUUAGGGUCAAGUAAAGAAAUUUUAGAAUAAGUUAAAUAAAUAGUUAUAUAAAGUGUUGAAGGAAUAAAGGGUGAAAUCAGAUUGUUAUCUUUAAUAUGUAAGUUAACUUAAAUUGAAGCUAAAAAUCAUUAGAAAUAAACUAGGAUUAGAUACCCUACUAUACUGAUGAAUAUUAUGGAAAUCUUAAUUAUUAAUAGAUAUGUUCUUUAAAUUUGAAGAAUUUGGCGGUAAUUUAGUCUUGUUAGAGGAACCUGUUUUUGAAUCGAUACUCCACGUAUAAUCUUACUCAUCGUUUUAAAAGCUUAUAUACCAUCAUUAGCAGAUAAUUUUUAAAAAAUUAAUUAUUAAAUUUUAAAAAGAUUAAUUUAAAUUAGAUCAAGGUGUAGCCUAUAGGUGAGUUAAAAUGGGUUACAAUAAAAUUUAUUUAUGACGGAGUAAAUAUAGGAAGAUAAAUUUAUAGAAGGAGGAUUUAAUUGUAAUAUUAGUUUAAUAUGCUAAAAAGAUAUAAGCUCUAAAUUAUGUACAUAUCGCCCGUCGCUCUCAUUUUAUAGAUGAGAUAAGUCGUAACAUAGUAGAUUUACUGGAAGGUAAAUCUAGUUUGAA
rnacentral:ncRNA from 1 species